rnacentral:rRNA from 1 species
AGCGUCGAUGUUAAGUCUCUUGGAGGUAGAGCACUGUUUGGGUGAGGGGUCCAUCUCGGAUUACCAAUCUCAGAUAAACUCCGAAUGCCAACGAGAUAUAAUCGGCAGUCAGACUGCGAGUGCUAAGAUCCGUAGUCGAAAGGGAAACAGCCCAGACCACCAGCUAAGGUCCCAAAAUAUAUGUUAAGUGGAAAAGGAUGUGGGGUUGCACAGACAACUAGGAUGUUAGCUUAGAAGCAGCUAUUCAUUCAAAGAGUGCGUAAUAGCUCACUAGUCGAGUGACCCUGCGCCGAAAAUGUACCGGGGCUAAAACAUAUUACCGAAGCUGUGGAUGACACGUUAGUGUCAUGGUAGGAGAGCGUUCUAUGUGUGAAGAAGGUGUACCGUGAGGAGCGCUGGAACGCAUAGAAGUGAGAAUGCCGGUAUGAGUAGCGAAAGACAGGUGAGAAUCCUGUCCACCGUAAGACUAAGGUUUCCAGGGGAAGGCUCGUCCGCCCUGGGUUAGUCGGGACCUAAGGAGAGACCGAAAGGUGUAUCCGAUGGCCAACAGGUUGAUAUUCCUGUACUAGAGUAUAAAGUGAUGGAGGGACGCAGUAGGCUAACUAAAGCAGGCGAUUGGAAGAGCCUGUCUAAUCAGUGAGGUGUAAGAUGAGUCAAAUGCUUAUCUUUAUAACAUUGAGCUGUGAUGGGGAGCGAAGUUAAGUAGCGAAGUUAGUGAUGUCACACUGCCAAGAAAAGCUUCUAGCGUUUAAUUAUACUCUACCCGUACCGCAAACCGACACAGGUAGUCGAGGCGAGUAGCCUCAGGUGAUCGAGAGAACUCUCGUUAAGGAACUCGGCAAAAUGACCCCGUAACUUCGGGAGAAGGGGUGCUGACUUACGUCAGCCGCAGUGAAUAGGCCCAAGCAACUGUUUAUCAAAAACACAGCUCUCUGCUAAAUCGUAAGAUGAUGUAUAGGGGGUGACGCCUGCCCGGUGCUGGAAGGUUAAGAGGAGGGUUUAGCGUAAGCGAAGAUCUGAAUUGAAGCCCCAGUAAACGGCGGCCGUAACUAUAACGGUCCUAAGGUAGCGAAAUUCCUUGUCGGGUAAGUUCCGACCCGCACGAAAGGCGUAAUGAUUUGGGCACUGUCUCAACGAGAGACUCGGUGAAAUUUUAGUACCUGUGAAGAUGCAGGUUACCCGCGACAGGACGGAAAGACCCCAUGGAGCUUUACUGCAGUUUGAUAUUGAGUAUCUGUACCACAUGUACAGGAUAGGUAGGAGCCAUUGAAGUCGGGACGCCAGUUUCGACGGAGGCGUUGUUGGGAUACUACCCUUGUGUUAUGGCUACUCUAACCCGGAUAGGUUAUCCCUAUCGGAGACAGUGUCUGACGGGCAGUUUGACUGGGGCGGUCGCCUCCUAAAAGGUAACGGAGGCGCCCAAAGGUUCCCUCAGAUUGGUUGGAAAUCAAUCGCAGAGUGUAAAGGUAUAAGGGAGCUUGACUGCGAGAGCUACAACUCGAGCAGGGACGAAAGUCGGGCUUAGUGAUCCGGUGGUUCCGUAUGGAAGGGCCAUCGCUCAACGGAUAAAAGCUACCCUGGGGAUAACAGGCUUAUCUCCCCCAAGAGUUCACAUCGACGGGGAGGUUUGGCACCUCGAUGUCGGCUCGUCGCAUCCUGGGGCUGUAGUCGGUCCCAAGGGUUGGGCUGUUCGCCCAUUAAAGCGGCACGCGAGCUGGGUUCAGAACGUCGUGAGACAGUUCGGUCCCUAUCCGUCGCGGGCGUAGGAAAUUUGAGAGGAUCUGCUCCUAGUACGAGAGGACCAGAGUGGACUUACCGCUGGUGUACCAGUUGUCUUGCCAAAGGCAUCGCUGGGUAGCUAUGUAGGGAAGGGAUAAGCGCUGAAAGCAUCUAAGUGCGAAGCCCCCCUCAAGAUGAGAUUUCCCAUGAUUUUAUAUCAGUAAGAGCCCUGAGAGAUGAUCAGGUAGAUAGGUUAGAAGUGGAAGUGUAGUGAUACAUGAAGCGGACUAAUACUAAUAGCUCGAGGACUUAUCCGAA